rnacentral:rRNA from 1 species
GCCGCGUGUGUGAAGAAGGCCUUCGGGUUGUAAAGCACUUUCAGCGAGGAAGAACGCUUCGGGAUUAAUACUCCCGAGGAAAGACAUCACUCGCAGAAGAAGCACCGGCUAACUCCGUGCCAGCAGCCGCGGUAAUACGGAGGGUGCAAGCGUUAAUCGGAAUUACUGGGCGUAAAGCGCGCGUAGGUGGCUAAGUCAGCCAGGUGUGAAAGCCCCGGGCUCAACCUGGGAACGGCAUCUGGAACUGCUUGGCUAGAGUGCAGGAGAGGAAGGUAGAAUUCCCGGUGUAGCGGUGAAAUGCGUAGAGAUCGGGAGGAAUACCAGUGGCGAAGGCGGCCUUCUGGACUGACACUGACACUGAGGUGCGAAAGCGUGGGUAGCAAACAGGAUUAGAUACCCUGGUAGUCCACGCCGUAAACGAUGUCAACUAGCCGUUGGGUCCCUUGAGGACUUAGUGGCGCAGCUAACGCAAUAAGUUGACCGCCUGGGGAGUACGGCCGCAAGGUUAAAACUCAAAUGAAUUGACGGGGGCCCGCACAAGCGGUGGAGCAUGUGGUUUAAUUCGAUGCAACGCGAAGAACCUUACCUACCCUUGACAUCCAGAGGACUUUCCAGAGAUGGAUUGGUGCCUUCGGGAACUCUGAGACAGGUGCUGCAUGGCUGUCGUCAGCUCGUGUUGUGAAAUGUUGGGUUAAGUCCCGUAACGAGCGCAACCCCUAUCCUU